UCGAGGGGUAACAGGGAAGAGCUUGCUCUUUCGCUGACGACCGGCGCACGGGUGCGUAACGCGUAUACAACCUACCUUUUGGAGGGGAAUAGCCCAGGGAAACUUGGAUUAAUGCCCCAUAGUAUGGGAAUAUCUCCUGAUAUUUUCAUUAAACAUUUAUGGCCAUUAGAUGGGUAUGCGUCCUAUUAGUUAGUUGGUAAGGUAACGGCUUACCAAGGCAGCGAUAGGUAGGGGUCCUGAGAGGGAGAUCCCCCACACUGGUACUGAGACACGGACCAGACUCCUACGGGAGGCAGCAGUGAGGAAUAUUGGACAAUGGGCGAGAGCCUGAUCCAGCCAUGCCGCGUGCAGGAAGACUGCCCUAUGGGUUGUAAACUGCUUUUACAGAGGAAGAACCACUCCCACGUGUGGGAGUUUGACGGUACUCUGCGAAUAAGGAUCGGCUAACUCCGUGCCAGCAGCCGCGGUAAUACGGAGGAUCCAAGCGUUAUCCGGAAUCAUUGGGUUUAAAGGGUCCGUAGGCGGGCAGUUAAGUCAGUGGUGAAAGUCUUCCGCUCAACGGGAGAACUGCCAUUGAUACUGAUUGUCUUGAGUUAUUAUGAAGUGGUUAGAAUGAGUAGUGUAGCGGUGAAAUGCAUAGAUAUUACUCAGAAUACCGAUUGCGAAGGCAGAUCACUAAUAAUAUACUGACGCUGAUGGACGAAAGCGUAGGUAGCGAACAGGAUUAGAUACCCUGGUAGUCUACGCCGUAAACGAUGGUUACUAGCUGUUCGGCCCGAUUAAGGGCUGAGUGGUUAAGCGAAAGUGAUAAGUAACCCACCUGGGGAGUACGUUCGCAAGAAUGAAACUCAAAGGAAUUGACGGGGGCCCGCACAAGCGGUGGAGCAUGUGGUUUAAUUCGAUGAUACGCGAGGAACCUUACCAGGGCUUAAAUGUAGUCUGACAGGACUGGAAACAGCUUUUUCUUCGGACAGAUUACAAGGUGCUGCAUGGUUGUCGUCAGCUCGUGCCGUGAGGUGUCAGGUUAAGUCCUAUAACGAGCGCAACCCCUGUGGUUAGUUGCCAGCGAGUAAUGUCGGGAACUCUAGCCAGACUGCCGGUGCAAACCGUGAGGAAGGUGGGGAUGACGUCAAAUCAUCACGGCCCUUACGUCCUGGGCCACACACGUGCUACAAUGGUAGGGACAGAGAGCAGCCACUUCGCGAGAAGGAGCGAAUCUACAAACCCUAUCACAGUUCGGAUCGCAGUCUGCAACUCGACUGCGUGAAGCUGGAAUCGCUAGUAAUCGCAUAUCAGCCAUGAUGCGGUGAAUACGUUCCCGGGCCUUGUACACACCGCCCGUCAAGCCAUGGAAGCCGGGGGUACCUGAAGU
rnacentral:rRNA from 1 species